UCCAGACUCCUACGGGAGGCAGCAGUGGGGGAUGUUGCACAAUGGGGGGAACCCUGAUGCAGCGACGCCGCGUGGGUGAAGGAGUAUUUCGGUAUGUAAAGCCCUAUCGGCAGGGAAGAAGCAAGACGGUACCUGACUAAGAAGCCCCGGCUAACUACGUGCCAGCAGCCGCGGUAAUACGUAGGGAGCAAGCGUUGUCCGGAAUUACUGGGCGUAAAGGGCGCGUAGGUGGGCGCUUAAGUCAGGUGUGAAAACUCCGGGCUCACCCUGGAGACUGCACUUGAAACUGGGUGUCUUGAGGGCAGGAGAGGAAAGUGGAAUUCCUAGUGUAGCGGUGAAAUGCGUAGAUAUUAGGAGGAACACCAGUGGCGAAGGCGACUUUCUGGACUGUACCUGACGCUGAGGCGCGAAAGCGUGGGUAGCGAACGGGAUUAGAUACCCGGGUACU
rnacentral:rRNA from 1 species